rnacentral:snoRNA from 1 species
AUCCUUUGGUUCACAAGCAUAAUGACUGUGUAUUCAUGCCAUAUGCGUGAGAUGUCCCUCCCUCAAACCUAGUUAUGAUGUCAGUACAUUACCUGUCUGAUG